rnacentral:rRNA from 1 species
AUACCACACACAAGGGAUCGUUUGGCUCCUGGGACGAGGAAGGGCGCAGCAGAGAGCGAUAUGUGUGGGAGCAGCAGCAAUGACCACACGUCCCCGAAUACAGCAUAGUGCUGGAGUACUCCUUGGAAUUAAGCAUAUGAGUAAAGGAAGGAAAAGAAACUAACGAGGAUUCCCGUAGUAGCGGCGAGUGAACAGGGAACAGUCCAACAGUGUAAUUCUCAAAUGAGAAGUUGUCAAAAGGAAGAAGAUGUGAAUCAGAAAGAAAAGCUGAACGAUACAGGGUGAUAGUCCCGUAGUGUCUUCUUACAUACGGUGAGUAGCUGUGCUCGGUAAUGCACAGUGAAGAGGUGGCAGUGUGCAUCUAAGACUAAAUACAACAGGAGACCGAUAGCAAAGAAGUAGGUUGACCGAAAACAUCUAAGUGAAAUUGUGUGUGGACCCGAAUGGAUCGGGCCCGUCUUGAAACACGGACCAAGGAGUGCACAUACACUGCAAGUUGAGCAGAGGAAGUCUGUGAGGCGUAGUGAAGACGGAAAGCAGUGUGAGUGCGACCCGAUAGACUUGUGAACUAUACCUUGUUGCUGUGAAGGCUGGCGAAAGCCAGCUGGAGGCGGCAAGCCGUAUUGAUCUGCAAAUCAUUGGCGUAAGCAGGGUAUAGGGGCGAAAGACCAAUCGAACAGUCUAGUUGCUGGUUCCCUCCGAAAUGUCUAUCAGGACAGCGCGCACGCAGAGAGAAGCAAGGUAGAGCAUGGGCCGGUAUCCUUAAGGAGACGGACGAACUGCGAAUGUGCUUUUCUUCUAUGCAAGCGUAGUGGGCGAGUUCUGGUAAGCAGGACUGGCGAAGAGGAAUGAACCUGGCACUGUGCUAAGGAACCCAAUGUCUGGACAGAGACCGAAAGAGGUAGGUGAAUAAGGACGGUAGGGCGGUAGCCAUGGAAGUCGGCAUCCGGUAAGAAACGUGUUACAACGUACCUACGGAAUUCAUCUGCUCUGAAAAUUGAUGGCGCUUACCAGACAUCCGAUGCACAGUUAGCAGGUAGGAGGGCGUGUGUCUACUGGCGAAGGUACCGAGUGAUCGGUGGUGGAGGUAGAUGCAGAGCAGAUCUUGGUGGUAGUAGCGAUAAUUUGUCUUCAGCGGCAAAGACUGAGGAGGAGAAGGGUUUCUUCUCAUAAGAAGAGUGAGCCGGGUCUAAGCGAGUGUGUAGAAGCAUGAGCGAAGGAGAAACAGGUUGAUAUUCCUGUGCCUGUGCUGUCGUACGGCAACGUGUAUUAGCUUGUCGACACGAACAUCUAGACAAAGCAGAAACACCUUUUCUGUUCAAGGGGAAAAAGACCACUGAGACGGAUCAUCUGGCGACGUGGUUUUAUAUCUGUGACCAGGCCUGAGCCUGGUUUGUUGAGGAUGGUCGUCCAUGAAAAGACAACUAUAUGGCAGCACAGUCCGUACCAACCGUAUCAGGACUCCAAGGUGAAGAGCCUCUAGUGGAUGUUUUACACAUGUAAGGGAAUUCGGCAAAAUGGAUGCGUAACUUCGGGAGAAGUAUUGGUUCAAUUGUGAACUCAUUGUGACAAGGGGAAUCUGACUGUUUAGUAAAAACAUAGCUUCAUGAAGAGAGAUGAAGUGAGUUCUGCCCGGUGCUCGGUCGUGACACGGAGGAAAUGCCAGAAAGCACGGGUUAACGGCGGGAGUAACUAUGACUCUCUUAAGGUAGCCAAACGCCUCGUCAUUUAAAUGGUGACGCGCAUGAAUGGAAUGACGAGAUUCCCACUGUCCCUACAUGUAGACUAGCGAACCCAUUUCCAGGGGAACGGGCCUGGACGGCCAGCGGGGAAAGAAGACCCUGUUGAGCUUGACUCUAGUGUGGCCAAGUUGUGACGAUUGAGGCGAUGUAGGAAGGUGGAGAGCGCAAGCAGAAGUGAAAGACCACUGCGCCAUGAUCAUCACGACACACUUGUUUAAGGACAAAGGCCAGAUGGGGAGUUUGGCUGGGGCGGUACGACCACAGAAUCAGAACGUGGUCGACCGAAGGUACUCACAGCGAGACGAGAACACUCGUGUAGAGCAUAAGGACUAAAGAGUGCCUGAGUGUGAGCACUACUGCUUGCAUGAGGGGAAACCCGGGCCUAGCGAUCCUACGCAUACGAGACACUUGUGGCGUGGGUGUCAGAAAAGUUACCACAGGGAUAACUGGCUUGUGGCCGCCGAGCGUAGAAAGCGACGCGGCUUUUUGAUUCUUCGAUGUCGGCUCUUCCUAGCAUGGCCAUGCAGCCGUGGCGAAGUGUUGGAUUGUUCACCCACUAACAGGGAACGUGAGCUGGGUUUAGACCGUCGUGAGACAGGUUAGUUUUAUCCUACUGUCCAAACAGUUGAAGGGAGUGUGGAUUAGUACGAAAGGAAACCCACACGUGACCUCUGGUGCAGCGGGUGUGCGGAAGUGCAACUGCCAUGCUACGUCUCCUCAAGCAUAGCUGGAAGCCUCUAAGCUAGAAAUGAGUCCUGACUCUGGAAGACGGCCGGGAAGACGACCCGUAGUUAACAGCGGUGUUGUACGAUAUGAGCUUUCUAUUUGUGUAGUAGCGAGUAUUUGAGACACUGGUUGUUACCACCGUCGUUUAUU